rnacentral:rRNA from 1 species
UACGGGGGGGGCAAGCGUUGUUCGGAAUUACUGGGCGUAAAGGGCGCGUAGGCGGCCUGCUAAGUCGGAUGUGAAAUCCCUCGGCUCAACCGGGGAACUGCAUCCGAUACUGGCGGGCUUGAAUCCGGGAGAGGGAUGUGGAAUUCCAGGUGUAGCGGUGAAAUGCGUAGAUAUCUGGAGGAACACCGGUGGCGAAGGCGGCAUCCUGGACCGGUAUUGACGCUGAGGCGCGAAAGCUAGGGGAGCAAACAGG